rnacentral:misc_RNA from 1 species
GGACCACCUCUUAUUCUUACACCACGGACCGCGGACGCACGCGGAUGUGUACGCACGUGCAGUUGUUUAUUAUAAUUGUAUAGGUUAGGUCAGAAGGUAGCCGAUCACGCACUGAGAAUUCAGAAUAAUACAACAUGCCUUAUUGUGUAGCGUCUAACUGCAAAAACAGAUCUUUCUCAAAAUCACAAAAACAAUGUGAGGUCGAAGUAGAGAAUAAGGUUACAUUUCACCUUUUUCCGAAAAAUAUUGAGAGGCGUAGGAUAUGGCUUGAUACGAUAGGGUUGACGAACACAAGUGUGCCAAAGUAUGCUUACUUAUGUUCAUGUCAUUUUUCACCGGAAUCAUUCGAUCGAACAUCUGCCUUCAAAGUUAGGCUGAAAGAUGAUGCUGUUCCAAAUGUUUGCAUUCAGGACAAUGCUGUCUUGCAAGAGACAUGCAGUGUUGAUAGAGAACGCGAAUGCUCUGAAUGCAUAGAAUUUUUUCUCGCAGAUGAAGUCACAUUGUACCUUGAUGCAGCGGAACCUUCAUCUUCAAUUGAUCAAGUUUGUGAAUCGGCAAAUAAAAGGCCGAGAAUUGAUAGCCCAUCAAAGGAUUUUAAGCAAAAAAAUGUAUCUUGUCAAACGCCACAACCGCCAAGAUGUAUCGAUAAAGGUACGUGGGUAUCGAAAUCGUUGAUUGCAACUUCUCCCACAAAGGAACGCCUACGUCACAUCAUCAAAGAGCUGAUGGAAUCACAUCGAAACGAGAUCAAACAUCUAAAAGUAACAGCACAACGGACAAAGAAACGCAUUGCUACUUUACCAUAUGUGAUAGGUGAAUUAGGAAAACGAAAAGAUCUCAAUCUUCAGGAGCUGGAUGUUUUAAUUGAUAUUGGUAAAUCAAAUGCAGAUCUGCUUAAACGAGUGGUUAAAAAGUCAACGCAUGCCACAGUACCCAAAUAAUUCACACCUGAGCUAAGAGCAUUCGCUCUAACUCUUCAUUAUUACUCUGCAUGCGUGUACAAUUACGUAUGUAAAAAAUUUGACUCCUGCUUGCCGCAUCCAAAAACCUGAUCAAUGUGGUAUCGAUCUGUCAAUUGUGAACAUGGCUUUAAUACCGAAUGCCUGAACGCUAUCGAAGUACGUGCAAAAAUAGUCGAUGAUGUUUUGAUUGGCUCUCUUGUUUUGGCCGAGAUGUCCAUACGUCAACACGUAGAGUACGAUGGACAAAAGUUUAGCGGGUAUGUAGAUAUGGAACUAAAUAUUACUACCGAUCAUGGGACUGUUGCAAAAGAUGCUCUAGAGUUUCUCUUCGUUGGUGUAAAUAGUUCGUGGAAGUUACCUGUUGACUUUUUUCCAACCAAUGGUAUUAGUGGAAAUUUAUUAUAGAAUCUUGGUGAUCGGUCAAUUGAGUAAAGUUUACUUAAUUGACCGAUCACCAAGAUUCUAUAAUAGAUUAUAUACGAGGUUGAGAAUUCUUAUUCAUCAGUUUAAAAUUGGAUUACUUCUGAGAACAUGGGCUUUAUUCACAACAUCGAGCUUACACACGGGAAAACUACAGCUGAUUACAUACGCCGUUGGAUCCGGACAGCUGAAAAAAUGUCGAGGAUGAAGAACCACAGGAUCUUUCUUCUUCGAUGUAUUUCGUAACGGGAGCAGGUUGAACUGGAGCUGUUGAACGAGGGAAUUUGCUGUACACAACAGAAACUGUUUUCAUGUUCUGUGUAAAAGGCGUAAUCGAUUUGUAUAUUUGAAUGUACCAUGUCUCAUUAUUUAACAUAAUGAAUUAUUAAUUUGAAGCUGAA